AUCUUUACUUUACUUCAGAAAGAUUUGCAUUUUGCUUCUUUUUUUUUUUUAAGAAAACAUAACAAUCUGUGAGGAAGAUCAUCCAACACCAAUAACAAUGAAUCACCUAAAUAAAUACAAUAUCUUCCUUUAAUGAUCACUUCUUCACAAAUCAGCCAAUGACAGCCAAACAGUCUGCUGAAAUCACUGUCCAGGUCUGAAUAAAAGAAAGACAUGCAGCUACACAUUAAUGUUUAUAUCAUUUGGCAUCUAAAGUAGCUCACAGUAUGAGAGUGAAAAAUAAUGUCACAGUUCCAGUUAUAAAGACACUAGAGGGCAGUCAGUGUCAACUUUCUCUCUCCUCUGUUACUAAAAGGAGAAACUCAGAUCUGCUGUUCUCAUUGAUCUUAACUGACUGACACUUGAACUCUGGACUGAACUAAAGCACAAAACAAGAAAAUGUUUCCAUCACAUUCUGUUUAAAAAUGUUACAGUUGAGUGUGUAAUAAAGUUAAAAUAUCAUAUGUAAAGCAGAGGUGAUUUCCAGGCAUGUUUUCACUCUGCAGAUAUAAUAACAGUCAACAGACUCUUCUAUUGGCUCCAGUUAGACCAACAUUGAUGCUUCAUAUGUUUGAUUCUAUGCAAACUCAGUGACCUUCCUUGUUACUCAGCUAUAAAAACUUCCCAUCAGGCUGUCAGUGGAGUUCACAGCACUUCAGUUUCAACAUAAACCAUGUUCUCUGUAGCUCUGCUGCUGCUGUUGGCAGCUGGAUGUGUGAAGUGUGAACAGUUGACACAGCCAUCCUCUGUGACUGUGCAGCCAGGUCAACGUCUGACCAUCACCUGUCAGGUCUCUUAUUCUGUUAGCAGCGCCUGCACAGCUUGGAUCAGACAGCCUGCAGGGAAAGGACUGGAGUGGAUUGGAAUGGCAGCUGUUGGAGAUUCAUAUUACAAGGAUUCACUGAAGAACAAGUUCAGUAUCGACUUAGACUCUUCUGGUAACACAGUAACUCUAAACGGACAGAAUGUGCAGCCUGAAGACUCUGCUGUGUAUUACUGUGCCAGAGAUACACAGUGAGAGACAAUAACAGCAGAGUCGUACAAAAAAUACUUCCUCUAUUAACCACCAACACUGGUAACACUGUUCAUUCAGUAUUACUUGAUUUGCUAUGAGACUGUUUUUCUUUUAAAAGUCCUAUUUUAUCUCGUUUGAAUAAAUGUUAAAUAAAUUUGCAAAUAUAGACAAUUAGAA